UUAUACUCAAGUAAUUAUAUUCAAAACGUGCUUAUGCAGACGUUACCGUUGAUGUCGCUUUAAGAAAAUUUCCCUCGCUUGGCUAGAGUGGUUCAGUUUAGGCGAUUGAUGCGGACGUGCUCUGACGGAACCUCGCACGGUUUUCAACGCGGAGUCUGUUUUGGAGUUAAUAUUUCUCAGCCUGCUAAAAAUGCUUGCGUCAGACUGGCUGGUCUAAGUUAACGUUCGUUGGCCUGCAGGAUGGAGCUGACUAGAAUGUCUACAGCUAACUUAAUAAAGGAGUUAAUACAAUUUGGUAUCGAAGUCACUGAAGAGGAGAGGAAAAAGUUGAAGGUGAGUAACGUUAUGCUGUUACAUUUUUUAAAAGUUUGAAGUGUGUACUUGAGGAUUUUCAAGCUACUUAGACGUUUUACAUUUUGAGGCAAAUUUUCCCGCCUUUGCGAGUAUGACAACAUUUUGUAAUGGGCAGCAGGAGAGUUGCCCAACGCACUCCUUAUCACACAGACAUUUUGUGUAACGUUAGAUACAGCAAAGCAACUUGAUUAAUUAAGUAAAAGGACAGCAUCCGAGCGAAUAUUUAUUCGUUACAAACAUGACAGUAACGUUAAUUUCAGAUGUUUGUAAGCGGGGGAGGUGUCUCUCUCACUUUUAAAAUUUAAAUUCGUCUCCUGUAACGUUAGUUUUUUUUUUUUCGGUAACGUGUGUUCACGGAGAGAUUUUAUUUUUCUGCAGUCUUUUUAUUCAUAUCCCAAAUGAAUUAAGCGCUGAACACUCUAAUGCAGGGAUCUCCAACCCUGCUCCUGGAGAGCUACCGUCCUGCAGACUUCAGUUCCAGCCCUGCUCCAACACACCUGUCUGUAAUUAUCAAGUAGCCCUGAACACCUUGAUUAGCUGCUUCAGGUGUGUUUGAUUGGGGUUGGAGCUGAAAUCUGCAGGACAGUAGCUCUCCAGGAGCAGGGUUGGAGACUAAUGCAUUGUGUUUUUACUCAUACUUAAUAUAUAGAAUAUCAAUUAUUUUAUUUAUUUAUUUAUUUUUUAUCCAGCAGUGUAUUUGAUUUCUUAAACAAUAAACGUUAAUAGGAAAAGCUUCAAAAACACUGGUUUAGUACAUGCUUCAGUUUGAUGGGUAAUUAAAUGAUACUUUUCUUCUUUUUUGUGUUAUAGACAAUGAUGUGGAUGGAGGGACUGUUGACAUCGGACUGACUGAGUCAAUGAUUUCAUUCCUUUUUGAGGGAUCAUUUAAAAAACAAGCAAAAUUUCAUCGGUUUGUUCAGCAGAUGAAGGAGACCGUGACAUUAACUCUUGAACCUGUGCCUGUAGAAAGCCAGUCAAGAGCUGGAGCAAGUAAUAUCAGCCCAUCAACAGCUUUCCCUGCAUUUUUUGAAGUUCCGAAGUUUCCAUUUGAUGUUCAGGCCAAGUUGGACCGAAAAGAAUGCAGACUAACGUCAUCAGACCGAAACAAAAUUAUUAGAACGUUGUAUGAAAGCAUGGCUCAGUACAAAAUGUAUUUCUCAUUACCUAUACCUGUUUUAAUUGCUUACAUUCCAUUUUAUACAACAUUUAAUGCUACACUCAUGUGUUUAAAAUAUUUUUGUAGGUAUCCAACUACAGAAGAGUAUGUUCAAGUGGCUAAGGCCCUGACUCUGAGG